CACGUAGGGCGCAAGCGUUGUCCGGAAUUAUUGGGCGUAAAGAGCUCGUAGGCGGUCUGUUGCGUCCGCUGUGAAAACUCGGGGCUUAACCCCGAGCCUGCAGUGGAUACGGGCAGACUAGAGGUAGGUAGGGGAGAAUGGAAUUCCCGGUGUAGCGGUGAAAUGCGCAGAUAUCGGGAGGAACACCGGUGGCGAAGGCGGUUCUCUGGGACGUGACUGACGCUGAGACGCGAAAGCGUGGGGAGCGAACAGG
rnacentral:rRNA from 1 species